CCCUUAGAUGUUCUGGGCCGCACGCGCGCUACACUGAUGCAUUCAACGAGUCUAAAACCUGGUCUGAGAGGGCUGGGUAAUCUUUUGAAAGUGCAUCGUGAUUGGGAUAGAUGAUUGCAAUUCUUCAUCUUCAACGAGGAAUGCCUAGUAAACGCAAGUCAUCAGCUUGCAUUGAUUACGUCCCUGCCCUUUGUACACACCGCCCGUCGCUCCUACCGAUUGAACGAUCCGAUGAAAACUGUGGAUUGAGAGUCUGAGUGGGUUCGCCUACCUCAACUUUCGAGAAGCGGGUUAAAUCUUAUCGUUUAGAGGAAGGAGAAGUCGUAACA
rnacentral:rRNA from 1 species